rnacentral:rRNA from 1 species
GUGCCAGCCGCCGCGGUAAUACGGAGGGUGCAAGCGUUAUCCGGAAUCACUGGGUUUAAAGGGUGCGUAGGCGGCUAUAUAAGUCAGAGGUGAAAGGCUACGGCUUAACUGUGGGAUUGCCUUUGAUACUGUAUAGCUGGAAUCAGGUUGAAGUUAGUGGAAUGCGGCAUGUAGCGGUGAAAUGCAUAGAUAUGUCGUAGAACACCGAUUGCGAAGGCAGCUAACUGGGCUUGAAUUGACGCUGAGGCACGAAAGCGUGGGGAUCGAACAGGAUUAGAAACCCCCGUAGUCC